AAACCCAAACCACCUUUGGGCUGAGACUCCAAAUUAUCCUCCUAGGGCAAACCUUCUGGAGGUGGUUGGCUCCGAGGAGAGGAGAAGGUCCCUGCGGAGCCGCGGCUGGGAAGCGGGCAGGGACGAGCUUGUGGAGUGAAACUGCCCAGAAGCGAAGCACAGGCACUCACUUCGGAGUGAAAAGCUUUGUCAUCGCCGCCCAGAUUACUGCAGCUAAAAAUAGCUACAGCUGAGAGCAAACAGCUGAGCUGUCCCUGUGCCCAGGGUCUCCCCGCCGCAGGCUCUACUCACCGACCCUGCCCGCUGCUAGGGGGACCCUGGAGGGGGUUCACUAAUGAGUUCAGCCUCAUUACAGCUUUGUCUUGUGUUUCACCUGUUGCUGAACCCUUCUGGAUGAACAACUUCUAUAAACAAAUGUGGGUCUCAGCACAGGUGACGCAGACAUCCCAACACCCACUCUGUUCCCUGAUCCACAGCAACCCCUGCCCUGCAUUUGGCAGCAAACAGCUGCCUUUACCUGUCACUCUCUCCUCUCCUCGUGGCUCUCCAAAGUGCAGGCUGCUGUGCAGUGGCCUCAGACAUCUACACUUUCCUUAGGGAGCCAAGCAGGCUGCCGAAGGAUGUUUGGGGGAGAGGGUUUUAUUUCAAGUGUUUACUUUGGGGGAGGAAGUCUGGGGAAAAAAGUCAGGUUUCCAUGCAUAUCUUAUUCCAUAUUUCCUUGCAGUCGUGAUGACAUCAAGCAGCAGGGACUGCUCAAUGCCUGGGCAAGGCAGUGGGAAGCUGCCCUUACGUGAGGAGGCUCUGCACUGCAUCAGGGGCUGCAGCAGCACUGCUCCAGCCCCGGCAGCAGCUCCUGAGGGAAGCGAGACUUGGGCUGUGAAAACAGCUACAGGCUGACGGUCAACCCACGGGACAGCUGCUUGCUCUCCCCUGGCCAUACUGUUUAAUCCUGUGCUGCACCAGAGCAAGAAGGCUACAGGGCAUUGUAGGUCUGUCUUUCCCCAGGCUGUUGCUCUCUGCACCCUGCUCUGUGAUGCAAAGCUGAAAAAGCAAUCACUCCAACUCCCUGCAGACCCAGCUGCACAGUCAACAGCAGCAACCAAGAGAGCAGAGCCAAGCAGCAAUGCCACCAGCACCAGUCUGAGAGCACGCAGGAGAGCGCAGCACAAAGCAAAGGGCAGAAACCCUCAGCACAGACCAGGCAGGCCACUGGAGCUGAUCGUGGCUGGGGCAGGCAGCUCAAGGCUGCAGGACCCUCCACGCUGGGCAGCAACUGGAAUGCUUCUCAGCAUAGUCCACACCUCUGGGCCAGCAGUGUAUGAAGCAACAGGACAAGAGCUGGUCAACCUGAGAAUUAGCUACAAGUUUGAGUGGAUUACCAGAGAAAAAUGACAGCUUUCGGUUAAGAACAGGAAGGCUAAGGACAGGAAAGCCCUGCAUUGCUGUCCUAAUGGGCUGUGAGCUUGAGGAAACUUUUUGGCAUCUCAAGAGUUUGGGGUUUUUUCCCCUCAAAUUGCAUUUUUCUACUUAAAAAGAGUUUUGUUGGAAAAUGUUUGAGCAGUCCUUGUAGGGGACAGUAGUGGGUGAGGAGGUCACUGUAAAGAUGCUGCACUGAAGUGCAGGAAAGGACAGACUCCUCGAGGGAUGUUCUGAGGGGCUCGUUCCCAGGCCCAGACAGGACCAGGACAAGGCACAUAUUAGGCUCUCAGUGCACUUGCUGUGCUCAUGGCUUCCCCAGGUGCUUUCUUACUGCGUUGCUCUAUAUUGCCUACGUGGCACAGGCUGGCACAGGCUGCCAAGGAAACUUUGUGUGGGUUGAUGCUGUGGCACUUGCAACCUUAGCAGAUUUGGCCUUCAAACCUCGCAGCCCAAGCAUUAGUGUAAAGCUGUAGCUUCUGGAUCACUUUCAGAGAGGGCCUGGAGUAAAGAAAGAUCUGUAGCCUUGGCCAGGCUAGCAGAGCAGUGUCCCGCAGCACAGCCUGGCAGAGCCCCGCUCCCUCUGCUGCACCUCGUGAGGACAGGCAGCGCUCCCUGGUCAGUCCCUCACUGCUGCUUCUGGGUAAGUGGCAAGGCGUGACUCAAAAGCACUGGGGAGAGGGAUUUCAGCCCAGGAAUACAUCUCAGGAAAGCAAAUUGGCUCCCUGAGGCUGGUUUUGAAAUAAACCUGAACUGAAUCCAGAGGCAGAGCUCCACGAGGUCAGUUUGAGGAUACACUGAGUGUGAGGAUUUCUGCUCUGCUGAGGUUCGUUCCCCUUGCUCUAUGCCUCAAUAUUGUCACCAGGGUGCUUCCUGCACUGCCUGCUGCUGUUGUUGGUGUUUUUAUCUCUUCCUGCAAGCAGUGACAGGGGUGUGGGUAUCUGUCACAGCAAACAGCAUGUUUUCGGGUGGGCACAAACAGAUUCUGGCUGGGGGUGGUGAAACCAGCAGAGGUAGAGGAGAUUUGGCUGGAUAGUUUAUGCCAGGGCUAGAGGAGAGACUGGUGAUCCUCACUGGCACCCGCAGCAAACUUCCAUCUGUCAUGGAAGAACUGCAGGAUGGAAGAGAUGCAGUUUGUGUGGUUGUCUGGGACAGUAGCUUGGGAGAGCCAAGUCCUCCUGGCUCACCCUGCUCACUUGGCUCGAGUGGGGACUGGAUCUGGUCCCUGGCAAACACCUUUUGUACUCUUCAGUUGAGUUGUGUCAUUUCCUCUCCUUAUGAGUCUGAGGACCUGACUGUCCUUACAGCAGAGAUAAAGAGAGUCUUUCACUCUCUUAGCAAACAAUCAGCGCUGAGGAUCUCUGUUCCAGCCUGGGUACUCAGGCGAGAGCAGGCAGCAGUACCAACACUUCUGUGUGCUCACACACCUUCCCCCCACGCUGGUAGAGCUGGGCAGGGGCAUGGGCCAGGACAACUGGAGUCCUGGCACUACAACCACCUUGUUCCUUUGGCUUCCGCCACCCACUGCUGUCUUCAGUGCUAAUGUGACAGCCCUCAGAGGCAUGCUCCUGGAGCCAAGAGUAGCAAGAGCUUCCUCUUUUGCUGGAGCAGCCUUGAGCUUGCUGAGAGCUCCCAGUCUGUGUUUCGCAUCAGGAUGGGCACCAAGGCAUGUGCUUGGUGUUAGGGCUUGCUUUGCCCUAAGCAUCUGCUCCCAUUAAAAUCUGGGUGCUGUCACCAGCUCUGCAUUUCACCCCCCAAGUAAGGCUGGCAGCCAGGGACAGAUGAGCUGAAAGACACUUGGAUUUCACCCCGUGGGAGUCAGUGGAUCAACAGGUGCUCCAAAACGACACAAACUGUUUUUCCUCUUGGGAGGCACUUCCCCAGGACUACGUCUGGUAAAACAGCUCAGGCUGCACGGGGGGUGACGGUGCCUUUGGCCAGGUGUGCAGACAAGGAUGGAUGGAGGGAUGCAGCUGU